UUUAAGGUCUAAUCUGCCCUAUGAGGAGUUAAAUGGCCGCGGUAUUUUGACCGUGCAAAGGUAGCAUAAUAAUUAGUUUUUUAAUUGAAAGCUGGAAUGAAUGAUUGGACGAGAAAAUUACUGUCUCAAAUUGAUUUAAUUAGAAUUUUAUAUUUAAGUAAAAAAGCUUAAAUUUUUUUAAAAGACGAGAAGACCCUAUAGAGUUUUAUAUAUUUAUUUAUAAUAAAAUUUUUGGAAUUAUGUGUUUGUUAUAUGUAAUUAUAUUUUGUUGGGGUGAUAGAAAAAUUAAAUUAACUUUUUUUAAAAAUUUUACAUUAAUUUAUGAUUAAAUGAUCCAUUUUUUAUGAUUAUAAGAUUAAAUUACCUUAGGGAUAACAGCGUAAUUAUUUUUUAGAGUUCUUAUCGAAAAAAUAGAUUGCGACCUCGAUGUUGGAUUAAAAUAAAUGUUUGGUGUAGGGGCUAAAUAGUUAGGUCUGUUCGACCUUUAAAAUUUUACA
rnacentral:rRNA from 1 species